GAUGAACGCUGGCGGCGUGCCUAAUACAUGCAAGUCGAGCGAACGGACGAGGAGCUUGCUCCUCUGACGUUAGCGGCGGACGGGUGAGUAACACGUGGAUAACCUACCUAUAAGACUGGGAUAACUUCGGGAAACCGGAGCUAAUACCGGAUAAUAUAUUGAACCGCAUGGUUCAAUAGUGAAAGACGGUUUUGCUGUCACUUAUAGAUGGAUCCGCGCCGCAUUAGCUAGUUGGUAAGGUAACGGCUUACCAAGGCAACGAUGCGUAGCCGACCUGAGAGGGUGAUCGGCCACACUGGGACUGAGACACGGUCCAGACUCCUACGGGAGGCAGCAGUAGGGAAUCUUCCGCAAUGGGCGAAAGCCUGACGGAGCAACGCCGCGUGAGUGAUGAAGGUCUUCGGAUCGUAAAACUCUGUUAUUAGGGAAGAACAAAUGUGUAAGUAACUAUGCACGUCUUGACGGUACCUAAUCAGAAAGCCACGGCUAACUACGUG
rnacentral:rRNA from 1 species